UUAGCCCUAAACCCAGAUAAUUUUUUAAACAAAAUUAUUCGCCAGAGUACUACUAGCAAUAGCCUGAAACUCAAAGGACUUGGCGGUGCUUCAUAUCCCUCUAGAGGAGCCUGUCCUAUAAACGAUAAACCCCGAUAGACCUUACCAACCCUAGCUAAUACAGCCUAUAUACCGCCAUCCUCAGCAAACCCUGAUAAAGGAAAUAUAGUAAGCAAGAUUGUUAAAAUACAAAAACGUUAGGUCAAGGUGUAGCUUAUGAGUUGGAAAGAGAUGGGCUACAUUUUCUCAAAACAGAAAAAAAAACGAACAUUCUUAUGAUAUUAAGAGUUAAAGGAGGAUUUAGUAGUAAGCUAAGAAUAGAGAGC
rnacentral:rRNA from 1 species